GCUCCGUUGGUGAACCAGCGGAGGGAUCAUUAUCGAGUUUAUAACUCCCAAACCCUAUGUGAACUUACCACUUGUUGCUUCGGCGCGCGCUUCGGUGCCGCCGAGGACACUUAAACUCUUUGUUUUUAUAAGCAUUUCUAAGUGGCCGAAAGGCAAAAUACAAAUGAAUCAAAACUUUCAACAACGGAUCUCUUGGUUCUG
rnacentral:misc_RNA from 1 species